rnacentral:lncRNA from 1 species
CCAUGCAAAACUCACAGAAGGUACAGAUAUAUGCUUGGACACCUUCUGUGGCAUCUAAGCUGAAAGUGGUGGAAGGUUUUAUAAU